rnacentral:rRNA from 1 species
GACGAACGCUGGCGGCGUGCUUAACACAUGCAAGUCGAACGGAAAGGCCCUGCUUUUGUGGGGUGCUCGAGUGGCGAACGGGUGAGUAACACGUGAGUAACCUGCCCUUGACUUUGGGAUAACUUCAGGAAACUGGGGCUAAUACCGGAUAGGAGCUCCUGCUGCAUGGUGGGGGUUGGAAAGUUUCGGCGGGUGGGGAUGGACUCGCGGCUUAUCAGCUUGUUGGUGGGGUAGUGGCUUACCAAGGCUUUGACGGGUAGCCGGCCUGAGAGGGUGACCGGCCACAUUGGGACUGAGAUACGGCCCAGACUCCUACGGGCGGCAGCAGUGGGGAAUAUUGCACAAUGGGCGGAAGCCUGAUGCAGCAACGCCGCGUGCGGGAUGACGGCCUUCGGGUUGUAAACCGCUUUCGCCUGUGACGAAGCGUGAGUGACGGUAAUGGGUAAAGAAGCACCGGCUAACUACGUG